AGAGAGAGAGAGAGAGAGAGAGAGAGAGAGAGAGAGAGAGAGAGAGAGAGAGAGAGAGAGAGAGAGAGAGAGAGAGAGAGAGAGAGAGAGAGAGAGAGAGAAUUAAAUUUUGUACUUAAAAUGCCAACCUGUACAGAUUAAAUACAUUGGCAGCGUGUGUGUGUGUGUGUGUGUGUGUGUGUGUGUGUGUGUGUGUGUGUGUGUGUGUGUGUGUGUGUGUGUGUGUGUGUGUGUCACUUUACACUUUUCUAAGUAAGAGUUGGUGAUAUGACAGUAAAUUUACACAAGUGACAGUAGUAGUAGUAGUAGUAGUAGUAGUAGUAGUAUAGUCAUAUACAGUAUACAUAUAGAUCAUACUUAUUUACAUGAAGGAGGAGGAGGAGGAGGAGGAGGA